rnacentral:tRNA from 1 species
GCGGACGUGGUGGAACGGCAGACACGUUAGCUUUAGGAGCUAAUGGGGUAAAACCCGUGAGAGUUCAAAUCUCUCCGUCCGCA